GUCCUGGAGGGGAGCGCCGCCGCCCCGCCUUCCGCAGCUGUCGGCCCGCAGUCCGGCGGGGACCGCGAGGGUAGCGGCCUCAGAGCGCAGGCCAAACCCCAGCCACUUCGGGCUUGGGACUGUAGGGGCCCCCUUUAAAGAAUCCCUGCCUUCUCCGCCACCAGAAGCAGAGAUAAUGCCUGUCAAUGUUCUCCUGAAAGAAUUGGUGCCAGGAUUAACUAUUUCAGGCUGCUAUCCCAAGGCUGGAAUGUUCUGAAAUGCUUAGCCUUUAACCUAUUAUGGAUGGCUUUUAGGAAAAGAUUUGGCCAAGAUGCCUCUAAAGGAAGAGGAGUCAGGGGAUGUGAGGGUAAGAACAAGAAUAUUGCCAUUACUCUGAAACAAGGAUGAAGAUCUAGCAAGGACUAAAAUGUAAAUAUUAAAUCAUGAUUUCUCUGUAGGGGGAAG
rnacentral:lncRNA from 1 species